UUUUUUUGCGUUUAGUUUAAGGGUUAGUUUGAUGAUCUGGGUUCUACUAGUGUAUUAUCUUAAGGUGAAGUUUGCUAUUUUGUCUGGGUAUACAUUUGUUACAAGUUUCAGUCUUGUUGGGUUUUCCAUAAGAGUUAAAAGUAGUAUUGUUUUCUCUUUUACAACUCUGUCAAUUGCAGUGCAUUUGCUUGAACUGAAAGCGUGUUGCAUUAUAAAUUGAAUUAGGAGUGUAGUUGUUUUAUAGUAUUGAAAGUGACCUUUUUGAUUUUUUUUCUGGGUCUGUUUUUAUGGUUAUUAUUGAGUAUUUUAUAAGAUUAAAAAUUGCUUUUAGCCGUUUUCCAGCAGAAGAAAUUAGGACGUGUGGAAGAGGACCAUUGAGAAAUCUUUUUUUUUUUAAAUGCAAGUUGAGGUUUUGGAUGCCUAUUAAACAUGUUGUCUUUCUCUGUUAGGUUCUAGCAUGAAUCUUCCUUGCGCUUGGCACCAAGUGACCUGAAUUCGGGCUUUUGUCGUAACUGUAUGUUUCAAAUUCUUUAUAUUGAUCUCAUAGAACUGUGAAUAUCAGCCGGUUCAGACCCCAGCUCUUGCUUCCAUUUUCAAGUUCUAGAACCUGUUCUUUGAAAGCUUAUAUCUUUUCACAAAUCCUUUUGAUUAAAGACUAUGAAAGCUAGGACGAGAAAGCGUUCCGAGUCCUUUUGGCCAUCCGUUGUGAUGAAGAAAUGGUUGAAUAUAAAGCCAAAGGUGUAUGAUUUCAGUGAAGACGAGGUCGAAACCGAAACCGAGAGUGAAGAUGACGGUGCUUGCUAUGUUAAGUACUCGAGAUUGCACGAUGGUGAGGAUCAUACCCGUAGGACACUAGGAAACCAAUCUGACUGCAGAAGCCGAAUUUCAGAUGCACCCUGUUCGGGUUACCGGUUAAGACACAGGAGGGGGAAAUCGGAAACUCUGCGUGCACAGUACAUAAAUACAAAGGAUGUGAGGGUUACAAUAGGCACUUGGAAUGUUGCUGGAAGACUUCCAUCCGAGGAUCUCGAGAUUGAUGAUUGGCUUUGCACCGAAGAUCCAGCUGAUAUUUACAUUAUCGGCUUCCAGGAGGUGGUCCCUUUGAAUGCUGGAAAUGUAUUCGGAGCUGAGGAUAACAGGCCGAUUCCUAAAUGGGAGUUGAUCAUUCGAAGAACUCUGAACAAAUCUUUGGAACCUGAAAGCAAGCAUAAAUACUAUAGUGCCCCACCUUCUCCUGUGCUACGGACUUCUUCGGUUGCAGAUGUAUUAGCAGACAAAAUAGAUGCUCUGCCGUUGCAAAUGAUGUGCGAUGAGUAUCUGGAGGCUGCUAAUGGCUGCGACUUCAAAGAAAAAGAUUUGAAGAAAGUUUCUGAUAUUGGACAAAAUUUAAAUCUGAAGAGAAUAUAUGGUGUCGAUUUUGACACUCGGUUGGACUGGCCAGAACACUCGCUAGAUGCAACCCCACAAGUUGUUUCUUCACAUUCGAAAUUGCGGAGAGUACUGAGCAGCUCGGCUAGAAUAGGCUUUACUAUGGCGGAAAACUCCUUCUGUAGUCCACAUCCUGUGGUGUUAACAGGAAGCAGACUGCAAAGAUCACACCAUAGCUCUGGAAACCUAGAGUCAAUGUUGCUGCAUGAGCUACCAAAUCUUGAAGCUGUUGAUUCCUUCUCUGAAGUAUCUGACGAGUUUCCCGAAGAGGAGGAUGAUACUUUCUUGGAGGAACCAAUGGAGCAACAUGACAAUGAUGGGGCAGGGUCACAUCCGAUGUAUGUAAGGAUAGUUAGCAAGCAGAUGGUUGGAAUAUACAUAUCUAUAUGGGUACGAAAGAGGCUGAGAAGACAUAUAAACAAUUUGAAAGUCUCUCCCGUUGGAAUUGGUCUUAUGGGCUACAUGGGAAACAAGGGAUCGGUUUCUGUAAGCAUGACACUUUUUCAAUCCAGGCUGUGCUUUGUGUGUUCUCAUCUGACAUCAGGUCAUAAGGUCGGAGCUGAACAAAAACGUAACUCUGACGUGUAUGAAAUUACACGACGUACCCAUUUCUCAUCUGCCCUUGAUACAGAACAACCCCUAACAAUUCCAUCUCAUGAUCAGAUAUUUUGGUUCGGGGAUUUAAAUUAUCGUCUCAAUAUGUUGGACGCCGAGGUGAGAAAGCUUGUUGCUUUAAAGCGCUGGGACGAUCUUAUCAACAAUGAUCAGCUUCAUAAUGAACUGAGUAGUGGACAUGUAUUUGAUGGAUGGAAAGAAGGGGUAAUAAACUUUCCUCCCACAUACAAGUAUGAAAUGGACUCGGAUAGAUAUGUCGGUGAGAUCCCUAGAGAAGGGGAGAAGAAGAGAUCUCCGGCAUGGUGUGAUCGUAUACUCUGGUCAGGAAAAGGCAUAAAACAACUUUGUUAUCAGCGAGCAGAAAUAAGACUCUCGGAUCAUCGACCCGUCAGUUCAACCUUUUUGCUAGAAGUUGAAGUCUUCAACCAUAGGAAGUUGAAAAGGGCUCUCAAUGUUAGCACUGCUGCCGUCCAUCCUGACAUUAUCUUUGAUGAAAAUGAGGACUUCGAACUUUAGCAGAAACCAGGAUUCAUUGGCAUACCAUUACAGGAAAUAUGGUGCUACUUUGUGUUCAAGAGAUAACAGAAGGAUAUAUUUAAUAACAGCAUUAAAACAUGUCAUAUUAGUGGGGCUGAAUGUAUAGGAACUAAAAUUCUUUUUUUUUCUUCCUGUCAUAUAGUCACUGUUCCAAGUUCAUAGUUCUACAAACUCUUCUUAAAGUUAGUUCUAAUCACAAAUUUUUUUGC